AGUGAACGCUGGCGGUAGGCCUAACACAUGCAAGUCGAACGGCAGCACAGUAAGAGCUUGCUCUUACGGGUUGCGAGUGGCGGACGGGUGAGGAAUACAUCCGAAUCUACUUUUUCGUGGGGGUUAACGUAGGGAAACUUACGAUAAUACCGCAUACGACCUACGGGUGAAAGCAGGGGAUCUUUGGGCCUUGCGCGAUUGUAUGAGCCGCUGUCGGAUUAGCUAGUUGGCGGGGUAAACGCCCACCAAGGCGACGCUCCGUAGCCGGACUGGGAGGAUGAUCAGCCACACUGGAACUGAGACACGGUCCAGACUACUACGAGAGGCAGCAGUGGGGAAUAUUGGACAAUGGAGGCAAGCCUGAUCCAGCCAUACCGCGUGGGUGAAGGAGGCCUUCGGGGUGUAAAGCCCUUUUGUUGGGAAAGAAAAGCAGCAGGUUAAUACCCCGCUGGUCUGACGGUACCCAAAGAAUAAGCACCGGCUAACUUCGUG
rnacentral:rRNA from 1 species